AGUGAACGCUGGCGGUAGGCCUAACACAUGCAAGUCGAACGGCAGCACAGUAAGAGCUUGCUCUUACGGGUGGCGAGUGGCGGACGGGUGAGGAAUACAUCGGAAUCUACUUUUUCGUGGGGGAUAACGUAGGGAAACUUACGCUAAUACCGCAUACGACCUACGGGUGAAAGCAGGGGAUCUUCGGACCUUUCGCGAUUGAAUGAGCCGAUGUCGGAUUAGCUAGUUGGCGGGGUAAAGGCCCACCAAGGCGACGAUCCGUAGCUGGUCUGAGAGGGUGAUCAGCCACACUGGAACUGAGACACGGUCCAGACUCCUACGGGAGGCAGCAGUGGGGAAUAUUGGGCAAUGGGCGAAAGCCUGAUCCAGCCAUGCCGCGUGGGUGAAGAAGGCCUUCGGGUUGUAAAGCCCUUUUGUUGGGAAAGAAAAGCAGCAGAUUAAACCCCCGCUGUUCUGACGGUACCCAAAGAAAAAGCACCGGCUAACUUCGUG
rnacentral:rRNA from 1 species